AUCUUUGUUGCAAAAAUUUCUCCCGCAACAGUACCUGUGUUGCAGAAAGACAGAAACAAAAUUCUGCAACAAAGCGAUUGUUUCUGCAACUCAACCGUUGUUUCAGGAAUUAAUGGGUCCAAAGUUUAUUUUUUGCAACAAAGCGAUUGUUUCUGCAACUCGACCGUCGUUUCAGAAAUUACUGGAUGCCCGACAGGAGCCCCACGCGCGCGGAUCGUACGGCUACGCGCGUAGAUCGGACGAUCAUUUAGGUGGCGGAUGUUUAGGAUGUUUUACUAAACAUCCGCCGGUGGAUGUGUAGCAGCCCCUAAAAAAAUCUUCCCAAGUGGGCCUUUUUGCGAUGCUGACAGGUGGGACCCAUUGCCAGAUGCACCGUCUCCGCCGAGCAAUCGAUUCUCGUCGAUGCCACCGGCAGCGCCGUCGCCUCCUCUCCGCC
rnacentral:lncRNA from 1 species